GCCCUAGUAACGGCGAGUGAAGCGGCAAUAGCUCAAAUUUGAAAGCUGGCCUUUGGUCCGCAUUGUAAUUUGUAGAGGAUGCUUUUAGGCAGCCGCCGGUCUAAGUUCCUUGGAACAGGACGUCAUAGAGGGUGAGAAUCCCGUAUGUGACCGGCUCAGGCACCUUCUGUAAAGCUCCUUCGACGAGUCGAGUUGUUUGGGAAUGCAGCUCUAAAUGGGAGGUAAAUUUCUUCUAAAGCUAAAUACUGGCGAGAGACCGAUAGCGCACAAGUAGAGUGAUCGAAAGAUGAAAAGUACUUUGGAAAGAGAGUUAAAAAGCACGUGAAAUUGUUGAAAGGGAAGCGCUUGCAAUCAGACUUGGCCUCGGUUGUUCAACCGGUCUUUUGACCGGCCUAUUCAAUCGGGGGCAGGCCAGCAUCAGUUUCGGCGGCCGGAUAAAGGCCUUGGGAAUGUGGCCUCUCCUUCGGGGGAGGUGUUAUAGCCCAGGGUGUAAUACGGUCAGCUGGGACUGAGGUCCGCGCUUCGGCUAGGAUGCUGGCGUAAUGGUUGUAAGCGGCCCGUCUUGAAACACGGACCAAGGAGUCUAACAUCUAUGCGAGUGUUAGGGUGUCAAACCCUUACGCGUAAUGAAAGUGAACGGAGGUGGGAACCCGCAAGGGUGCACCAUCGACCGAUCCUGAUGUCUUCGGAUGGAUUUGAGUAAGAGCAUAGCUGUUGGGACCCGAAAGAUGGUGAACUAUGCCUGAAUAGGGUGAAGCCAGAGGAAACUCUGGUGGAGGCUCGCAGCGGUUCUGACGUGCAAAUCGAUCGUCAAAUUUGGGUAUAGGGGCGAAAGACUAAUCGAACCAUCUAGUAGCUGGUUCCUGCCGAG
rnacentral:rRNA from 1 species